rnacentral:rRNA from 1 species
UAUGUGAAUUGCAGAAUUCCGUGAAUCAUCGAAUCUUUGAACGCACAUUGCGCCCCCUGGCAUUCCGGGGGGCAUGCCUGUUCGAGCGUCAUU